rnacentral:rRNA from 1 species
CCCUUAGAGUUUGAUCCUGGCUCAGGACGAACGCUGGCGGCGUGCCUAAUACAUGCAAGUCGAGCGAAUCUUCAGGAGCUUGCUCCUGAAGGUCAGCGGCGGACGGGUGAGUAACACGUGGGCAACCUGCCUGUAAGACUGGGAUAACUUCGGGAAACCGGAGCUAAUACCGGAUAAUCCUUUUCCUCUCAUGAGGAAAAGCUGAAAGAUGGCGCAAGCUAUCACUUACAGAUGGGCCCGCGGCGCAUUAGCUAGUUGGUGAGGUAAUGGCUCACCAAGGCGACGAUGCGUAGCCGACCUGAGAGGGUGAUCGGCCACACUGGGACUGAGACACGGCCCAGACUCCUACGGGAGGCAGCAGUAGGGAAUCUUCCGCAAUGGACGAAAGUCUGACGGAGCAACGCCGCGUGAACGAUGAAGGCUUUCGGGUCGUAAAGUUCUGUUGUUAGGGAAGAACAAGUACCGGAGUAACUGCCGGUACCUUGACGGUACCUAACCAGAAAGCCACGGCUAACUACGUGCCAGCAGCCGCGGUAAUACGUAGGUGGCAAGCGUUGUCCGGAAUUAUUGGGCGUAAAGCGCGCGCAGGCGGUUCCUUAAGUCUGAUGUGAAAGCCCCCGGCUCAACCGGGGAGGGUCAUUGGAAACUGGGGAACUUGAGUACAGAAGAGGAAAGCGGAAUUCCACGUGUAGCGGUGAAAUGCGUAGAGAUGU